rnacentral:rRNA from 1 species
ACGACUCUCGGCAACGGAUAUCUCGGCUCUCGCAUCGAUGAAGAACGUAGCGAAAUGCGAUACUUGGUGUGAAUUGCAGAAUCCCGUGAACCAUCGAGUCUUUGAACGCAAGUUGCGCUCGAAGCCAUUAGGCUGAAGGCACGUCUGCCUGGGCGUCUCGC